UCCAUCAGCUCACUAAUGGGCCGCCGGAAAAACUGCAAAGCUAGGGAGUGGGAGAGGUAGACGGUACUCGGUAGGAAGGGGUAAAAUCCUUUGAUCUAUUGAUGACCACCUGUGGCGAAGGCGGUCUACCAGAACACGUUCGACGGUGAGGGAUGAAAGCUGGGGGGGCAAACCGGAUUAGAUACCCGGGUAGUCCCAGCUGUAAACGAUGCAGACUCGGUGAUGCGCUGGCUUGUGGCCAGUGCAGUGCCGCAGGGAAGCCGUUAAGUUUGCCGCCUGGGAAGUACGUACGCAAGUAUGAAACUUAAAGGAAUUGGCGGGGGAGCACCACAAGGGGUGAAGCCUGCGGUUCAAUUGGAGUCAACGCCGGAAAUCUUACCCGGAGAGACAGCAGAAUGAAGGUCAAGCUGAAGACUUUACCAGACAAGCUGAGAGGUGGUGCAUGGCCGCCACCAGCUCGUGCCGUGAGAUGUCCUGUUAAGUCAGGUAACGAGCGAGAUCCCUGCCUCUAGUUGCCACCAUUACUCUCAGGAGUAGUGGGGCGAAUUAGCGGGACCGCCACAGUUAAUGUGGAGGAAGGAAGGGGCCACGACAGGUCAGUAUGCCCCGAAAA
rnacentral:rRNA from 1 species